CCCCCUAUUCCUCUAUAAUUUCACGAGUCCAAAAUUUCGUUACUACUUAUAAUUACUAGUACUAUAAUUCCUCCAUAAUACAGUUUAUUGUUAAUUAAUCUAGUUGGGUUGUCAUUCAUUGAUUUCUGUUUUUUUUUUAAAGAGACCUGGAUCUAAAAUGAAAACUGAAUUGGUUGGGGAAUACUCUAAUUAAAAGCACACACACAAAAAACUUAGAAAACUGAAAAUUUCUGAGUACGAACAAUGAAAGAUGGUUAAAGUCAAAAUGAACUUGCAAUG
rnacentral:lncRNA from 1 species